UACAGAGGUCUCAAGCGUUUGUUCGGAUUCAUUGGGCGUAAAGGGGUGCGUAGGCGGCGCGGUAAGUCGGGUGUGAAAUCUCGGAGCUUAACUCCGAAACUGCAUUCGAUACUGCGGUGCUUGAGGACUGGAGAGGAGACUGGAAUUCAUGGUGUAGCAGUGAAAUGCGUAGAGAUCAUGAGGAAGACCAGUGGCGAAGGCGGGUCUCUGGACAGUUCCUGACACUGAGACACGAAGGCCAGGGGAGCAAACGGG
rnacentral:rRNA from 1 species